rnacentral:tRNA from 1 species
GGCCCGUUCGUCUAACGGUUAGGACGCCGGCCUCUCACGCCGGUAAUACGAGUUCGAAUCUCGUACGGGUCACCA